UGCUGUUCGAGUCUGCUAGCUUGUGGAGGCCACACGGGAAGCCUGAGAACACAUAAAGCCCGGAAGAGACUCCUUCCUCACCCCAGAGCCUUCAGUGGUCCUCACAGGAGACCCUCUUCAUGAGGAACACUUUCACAGUGCCAUAGACAGGGGCCUGUGACAUGGCUUCAGGGAGUGGCAGGGCUGCUACUCACUAGCUGUGUGAUACAAGGAAGUCCGUGGCCAUCUCUAGGGACAGGUGUGCAUCCAUAAAGUGAAGUGAUCCAAUGGCAGCAGACAAGGUGAGGCUCGCAAGGUAUAAAUAUGCAGAGUGCCCACACAGGGCCUGGUCGCCAUUGGGAUCUGCCUGCCUUAAGUGUCCUCACCACCAGGAAAGUGACCAGCCCCCCUCCAUGACCACAACUUGGGGCCACCAUGUAGUGAAGGCUUCCAGCAACCUCAAGUUCCUGUUACUUGUCUUGGUGAUGUAGAUGCGUUUUCCAUAAGCUGCCUUAAAAAUCCUUUUUGAAGCCAAGUCGGGGUGUAAGUUACAUAGGCUUCUCUAAGAAGUUCUGAACGCAAAUUACAAACCAGCUCAGAAGUGAAAAACCCGAACCUCAUGAACGUGGUCAUCAUGCUGCUCAUGCACUUCAGCCUCCCCAGGAAAGAAAUGAAGACAGGCUUUGCUCUCAGACACAAUGAAGGGACAGCAGUUGUGACCUCCAGAGAAGCCAUGGCCGCAGCCUCAUGGAGAUGCUCCUCCUACCUGAGACAGAUUCUACAGGCAAAGAGCCUCCCGCCAUCAU
rnacentral:lncRNA from 1 species